AACGAACGUUGGCGGCAUGCCUAACACAUGCAAGUCGAACGAGAUCUUCGGGUCUAGUGGCGCACGGGUGCGUAACGCGUGGGAAUCUGCCCUUUGGUUCGGAAUCACAGUUGGAAACGACUGCUAAUACCGGAUGAUGACGAAAGUCCAAAGAUUUAUCGCCAGAGGAUGAGCCCGCGUAGGAUUAGCUAGUUGGUGUGGUAAAGGCGCACCAAGGCGACGAUCCUUAGCUGGUCCGAGAGGAUGAUCAGCCACACUGGGACUGAGACACGGCCCAGACUCCUACGGGAGGCAGCAGUGGGGAAUAUUGGACAAUGGGCGAAAGCCUGAUCCAGCAAUGCCGCGUGAGUGAUGAAGGCCUUAGGGUUGUAAAGCUCUUUUACCCGGGAUGAUAAUGACAGUACCGGGAGAAUAAGCUCCGGCUAACUCCGUGCCAGCAGCCGCCGUAA
rnacentral:rRNA from 1 species